UACGGGGGGGACAAGCGUUGUUCGGAAUUACUGGGCGUAAAGGGCGCGUAGGCGGCCCGCUAAGUCGAACGUGAAAUCCCCGGGCUCAACCCGGGAACUGCGUCCGAUACUGGCAGGCUUGAAUCCGGGAGAGGGAUGCGGAAUUCCAGGUGUAGCGGUGAAAUGCGUAGAUAUCUGGAGGAACACCGGUGGCGAAGGCGGCAUCCUGGACCGGCAUUGACGCUGAGGCGCGAAAGCCAGGGGAGCAAACGGG
rnacentral:rRNA from 1 species